rnacentral:rRNA from 1 species
AAGGUGGGGAUGACGUCAAGUCCGCAUGGCCCUUAUGGGCUGGGCCACACACGUGCUACAAUGGCAAUGACAAUGGGAAGCAAGGCUGUAAGGCGGAGCGAAUCCGGAAAGAUUGCCUCAGUUCGGAUUGUUGUCUGCAACUCGGGAACAUGAAGUUGAAAUCGCUAGUAAUCGCGGAUCAGCA